rnacentral:rRNA from 1 species
GAUAGCUGGUUCUCCCCGAAAUAGCUUUAGGGCUAGCCUCAAGUAGUAAGUAUAGGCGGUAGAGCACUGAUCGGGCUAGGGGCCAUAAAGGUUACCGAACCCUGUCAAACUCCGAAUGGUUAUACUGUAGAGCUUGGGAGUCAGACUACGAGUGAUAAGAUCCGUGGUCAAAAGGGAAACAGCCCAGACCACCAGCUAAGGUCCCCAAUGUCGUACUAAGUGGAAAAGGAUGUGGGGUCUCUAAAACAACCAGGAUGUUGGCUUAGAAGCAGCCACCAUUUAAAGAGUGCGUAAUAGCUCACUGGUCGAGAGACCCUGCGCCGAAGAUUACCGGGGCUAAAGUACGAAACCGAAGCUGUGGCUACGACAUAUGUCGUGGGGUAGGGGAGCGUUCUGUGAGGGCUGAAGUCGUUCUGUAAGGAACGGUGGACUUCACAGAAGUGAGAAUGUUGGUAUGAGUAGCGAAAAGAAUGGUGAGAAUCCAUUCCACCGAAAGCAUAAGGAUUCCUGGGCAACGAUCGUCGUCCCAGGGUAAGUCGGGACCUAAUCCGAGGCAUGGAGCGUAGGAGAUGGACAACUGGCAGAUAUUCCAGUACCGGUAAUGAUUGUUUGAGCGAUGGAGUGACACAGGAGGGCAGGCAGGCAGGAGAUUGGUUGUUCCUGUACAAGCGUGUAGGAUGGGACGCAGGCAAAUCCGCGUCCUGUGAGUCUGAGGCGUGAUGUGGAGGUUCCGGAAACGGAACUGAAGCUGCUGACCCCACACUGUCGAGAAAAGCUUCUAGUUAGAGAAUUACCGCCCGUACCGUAAACCGACACAGGUAUGCGGGGAGAGAAUCCUAAGGUGCGCGGGAGAACCCUCGUUAAGGAACUCGGCAAAAUGUACCCGUAACUUCGGGAUAAGGGUAGCCGCUGUUGUGAAGUCUGAACAGACGGAGCAUGAGGCGGUCGCAGAGAAGAGGCCCAAGCGACUGUUUACCACAAACACAGGUGCCUGCUAAAGAGAAAUCUGACGUAUAGGUGCUGACACCUGCCCAGUGCCGGAAGGUUAAGGAAGGAUGUCCGGAGCAAUCCAAAGCAUUCGACCGAAGCCCCGGUGAACGGCGGCCGUAACUAUAACGGUCCUAAGGUAGCGAAAUUCCUUGUCGGGUAAGUUCCGACCCGCACGAAAGGUGUAACGAUUUGGGCACUGUCUCAACGAGGGACCCGGUGAAAUUGAAGUACCUGUGAAGAUGCAGGUUACCCGCGACUGGACAGAAAGACCCCAUGGAGCUUUACUGUAACCUGACAUUGGGUUCUGAUACAUCACGUACAGGAUAGGUGGGAGGCAUGGAAGCGAGGACGCUAGUCUUCGUGGAGCCGCCGUUGGGAUACCACCCUUGAUGUAUCGGAAUUCUAACCGUAGGAGUAACGAAACUCGGGACAGUGUCAGGCGGGCAGUUUGACUGGGGCGGUCGCCUCCCAAAGAGUAACGGAGGCGCCCAAAGGUUCCCUCAGCGCGGCCGGAAAUCGCGCGAAGAGUGUAAAGGCAGAAGGGAGCUUGACUGAGAGCCAAACACGGCAAUCAGGUACGAAAGUAGGGCUUAGUGAUCCGGUGGCAUCCAAGUGGAAGGGCCAUCGCUCAACGGAUAAAAGCUACCCUGGGGAUAACAGGCUAAUCUCUCCCAAGAGUCCAUAUCGACGGGGAGGGUUGGCACCUCGAUGUCGGCUCAUCACAUCCUGGGGCUGAAGUCGGUCCCAAGGGUUGGGCUGUUCGCCCAUUAAAGUGGUACGUGAGCUGGGUUCAGAACGUCGUGAGACAGUUCGGUCCCUAUCCAUCGCGGGCGCAAGAGAUUUGAAGGGGGCUGCUCCUAGUACGAGAGGACCGGAGUGGACGAACCAAUGGUGUACCAAUUAUCUCGCCAGAGGUAUAGUUGGGUAGCUACGUUCGGAAAGGAUAAACGCUGAAAGCAUCUAAGCGUGAAACCAGCCUUAAGAUGAGAUCUCUCAUAGAGCAAUCUAGUAAGACACCUUGGAGAAGACGAGGUUGAUAGGUCGGGAGUGUAAGUACAGUAAUGUAUUCAGCGGACCGAUACUAAUAUGUCGAGGGCUUGACUUG